CUUCUGAUUCGUAGGUGACCUGCGGAGGACAUUAC
rnacentral:rRNA from 1 species